GCCCUCGUAGCCCAACAUAGGUAGAGGUGUCGCACUCAGAAUGCGAAGGUUGUCGGUUCGAUCCCGACCGAGGGCACCA
rnacentral:tRNA from 1 species